rnacentral:rRNA from 1 species
GACGAACGCUGGCGGCGUGCUUAACACAUGCAAGUCGAACGGAAAGGCCCUGCUUUUGUGGGGUGCUCGAGUGGCGAACGGGUGAGUAACACGUGAGUAACCUGCCCUUGACUUUGGGAUAACUUCAGGAAACUGGGGCUAAUACCGGAUAGGAGCUCCUGCUGCAUGGUGGGGGUUGGAAAGUUUCGGCGGUUGGGGAUGGACCCGCGGCUUAUCAGCUUGUUGGUGGGGUAGUGGCUUACCAAGGCUUUGACGGGUAGCCGGCCUGAGAGGGUGACCGGCCACAUGGGGACUGAGAUACGGCCCAGACUCCUACGGGAGGCAGCAGUGGGGAAUAUUGCACAAUGGGCGGAAGCCUGAUGCAGCAACGCCGCGUGCGGGAUGACGGCCUUCGGGUUGUAAACCGCUUUCGCCUGUGACGAAGCGUGAGUGACGGUAAUGGGUAAAGAAGCACCGGCUAACUACGU